GUGCAAGCAGACUUGUGGUGGUCGAUUUCUGAUUGAGAUAGAUUUGAUCGUUCGAUCACUUUUUGCUGAUCGUGAACGAGCGAUUAAUCCGCGACCCAUAUCGAGGUCGAGAUUGAGAUCGAAAGGGUGUGUUCAAUUUAGAUCAUUAACUGGAGCGCCAUAUGUGAACAAAAAAUAUAACUUCUUUAAAUUUGUCACUAGAGUGAAAAGAUUUUUAGAGAAUUCUAGUCAGAUUCAGAUCUUGUCUCAGUGCUUAGUCUACUUGAUUACAAAAAGGCAUUUGUAAGUCAAUAUGAUUUCUGAAUCAUUAAUGGCUGAAGUCAUUAUAGAUUAGAUUGUAAGAUGAUGUUAUAUUUUAAGGUUUUUCUAGACAUUCCAUAGAUCAAGAUUGAACGACUUCAAUCUUGAAUUUGCAGCUGGGAAAAAAUUAUCUGUUGGUGCCAGUGGGAAAGACACUCACAAUUUUGACAAACACUGGGUCCAUCUGAAAGAUCCUUCUCUUACAAAACAAAUUAGAUAAAAGAUCUGGACACCAAAAUUAUGGUUAUUUAAGCAAAACGAAACAUUUUAUAAAUUGUUCAUCAUCCAUCCUGUUUUAUUUGUAGAAAUUUAUUGUAAAGGAUACUAUUCCUCUGAUUGAAGUGGAGAGGGAAGGAUUUGUCGAAUUGAUGGGAGGCCUUAUUGGAAAACUAGUUGUAAAAAAAAAUAUAUUUUUUUACUGAGAGACUUCAAAGAGAAUAUUCAAACUCAAAAACUAACUUAAUCAUGGCGCUUGAAAAAGUCACCCCGACGCCAGCAACAUCUAUAACGUGACUUUCAAGAAAAUGAAGAAGUGUAUAGAUGCGAAACUCCAAAAGAUCUGGAAUAAGCAGUUCCGUAGCUCUUUAGUCUCAGAUUAUAUAAAGAACCAGCUGGGAGUCCUUUUUGUUUUGUAUAAUGCUACGCGCUGGAACUCUUUUUACGACCCUGUUGAAUGCGUCACGAAGCUAAUUGAAUCGAAAAACGAAGAGUUAUCAGAAGUAUUUCUUCAUUUCAACAUUGAACCAUUUAUCAAAGCCGAAGAAGAAUUCCUCUUGGAAUAUGUAAGAAUCAUGGAGCCUUUCACUCAAGCCUUGGACGUUCUUCAGAAUGAAGAGAAAAUAUCUUUAAGUUGCGUUCUCCCAACCAUUAAAUUGUUGCAAGAAAAGUGGAAGAAUUUUCCAAAGAUUCUUCGAUCGUACAUUCUGAAGCUUUUGUUCUGGCAAUAUCUGGUCUUUACACAAGAUUUUGAGAAAUGUUUAAGAACGUUCACAUGCGACUUGUGUCAAUUUCCGACCCGAACUUUGAAACUAUUUGGGUGAAUAAAAGUGAGAAGCAGCAGCUGAUAAAUUUGUUAAAAUCAACAGUUCGUCGUCACAAGGCUUCCAAUUUGAAUCCUGUCUCUGGAAACAAUGGUGGUGAUGUUUCACCAACGAAAACGCCUAGGUUUCCAGAUCGAUA